CCUACGGGAGGCAGCAGUGAGGAAUAUUGGUCAAUGGGCGGAAGCCUGAACCAGCCAAGUAGCGUGCAGGAUGACGGCCCUACGGGUUGUAAACUGCUUUUAUACGGGAAUAACGCGCCUUACGUGUAGGGCUUUGCAUGUACCUGUCGAAUAAGCCACGGCUAACUACGUGCCAGCAGCCGCGGUAAUACGUAGGUGGCAAGCGUUGUCCGGAUUUACUGGGUGUAAAGGGCGUGUAGCCGGGUUGACAAGUCAGAUGUGAAAUCCUGCGGCUUAACCGCAGAACUGCAUUUGAAACUGUUGAUCUUGAGUACUGGAGAGGCAGACGGAAUUCCUAGUGUAGCGGUGAAAUGCGUAGAUAUUAGGAGGAACACCAGUGGCGAAGGCGGUCUGCUGGACAGCAACUGACGGUGAGGCGCGAAAGCGUGGGGAGCAAACAGGAUUAGAUACCCUAGUAGUC
rnacentral:rRNA from 1 species